AUCACCUGACACACACUUUUGAGACCUUUCAAUGUUGGUGAAAGGCCAUUAUUAUGAAGCAAAAGGAUUUUCCAUGUUAAAAAUUCCACCAGGUCUAAUGAGAACUUUUGGCAGCUUGACCAGCCUGAGCCUUGGACCCGUUUUGGGGCAUCACUAGUGACUGAUACAAACGCCAUUCCUCUGGAACACAAAACCCGUCCCUGGCACCACCAGUGAAGUAGCAGCUCUGCUCCAUGUUCUGUACUGAGAUUGAUACUGCCUAUGCCACCUCCUCAAGUGGGCUCGGGCUAGGAUGCAUUCUGUGUUAUAGCGACUGUGAGGCUGACGCUAUUGGAGAGAGUCUGUCUGUUCAGAACUCCUAAACGGUACAAGCUAGGGCCACCAAAUCUGGCAGGAAGCUUCCUCUUCUCAUACCUUGAAGCAAGGGAAGGGCUUGAAUGUGCCUGGGUGGAAUGCUUCUCAAAAUCCUAGAAAAAAGACAAUCAUGUUGACUGUUCCCCUCCCUCCAGGAGAGAGGGGAAAGGGCACAGUUUGACGCAUGGACCCCCUUGGUGCAGGGCUCCAGGGGGACCUGCUCUAGGUGUCAUCCCAUCCUUAGACAGAAAGACACUUGGAAGGCCAACCUCAAAGCAUGCAAGAUGGACUUUGAAACUUGGGGACUUGUUGCAUUGGACAGCCGUAUCUGGAGAGGUCUGCGCUGUGAGGCCACGUCUGCGCGUGAGGGUCGGUGUGUGAGGUCUCUGCAGGAGAAGACCACGUUAUAUGGGUAUUGACUCAAACCCUUGCCUUAGUAACAGCUUCACGUGUGACUGUAACCCACUCACCUGCUGGGUGUGGUGCAUGGUCCCAUCUACCGGUACCAAGACCGCUUGCGGAGACGACAGUGACUCUACAGACUUCGCUAACAUCCACCUGGCUUUAAGCAGCAGAGGCUCAUGCACUAAGCUUCAGAGGUCCCAGGUUCGAUUUUGCCCGUCGGCGUUCUGCAACCACAUUUGCAAAUCCAGGCUCAGACUCGCUUCCCACGUGAGAAGCCAUAAAAACAAGCCUGUAACUUAAGUCAACAUCAGCUGAAUGCUCAACUGUAAAAGAGGUGGGAGAUUCCAACAACAACAAGGCCAACAGUGAAGGCUUCUCCCCCAUUUACAUGCGGAUUUCAGUUGUAUGGUUUGGAAGUUGCUCUGAUCAGGCACUUCUGGUUUGUGUUAAGACAUUUUGCAAUGGUGAUGAUGGAAAUAGGAGGAGGAAUCUUUUGUGUGACUGGAAAAUAGGGGCAAAGGGAAAACGGAAGAAACUAGGAAAUCUUUUUUGUAACUACAUGUUGACAUCACCGCUUUUCUUUUUUCCAGCUCAGCUUAGACAAAAUGGCCCUGCGUCUUCCUUGCGGGGUAAAUUUGGAGUAACAACUCUGAAGUCAGUGGCGUUGUGUGUGUGUCUCUCUUUCUCUCUCACUCACAGACUCAGACUGCGAUCCCAAAUUCCAAGCUGCAGUGCGGGGGGGGAGAGAAGCUAUUUUGAUGCCUGUUAGAUUCCCCCAAGCAGAAAAGUGUUUAUCCAUCCACCAAUAGGGACUUACUGCUUUCACACUACAUCUAGUGAGAGACCACAAAAAACUUGCCUAUUGACAGAAGUGAGACUGUACUAUAACAUCCCUGGGGCAGUGUGAUCAAGCAUGGCUUGCGUCCCAUUUUACAAUGGGUAGAAUGUAUUCUCAGAGAUUUUUAAAGUUUUGAGAAGCCUGGAAGGUUAGUGCCGGUGGCCUUAGCAGUGUUGUUGCACCUGCAAGCGUGAAAGGUGUGUCACAUUGCAGGAUGUUCCGUGCCCUUAUCGAUGUACAACCCAACGGUGAGCAGGAGGGCUGACGUCACAGGGCGCAAUUCGUGUGUAUGCUGAGACCCCCAAGGGUGAGGCUGACAACAGAGCAUGUCAGCCCUGUGCAGCAGGACACAAGUUACAGCUCCCCUCCAUUUGUGGUGGUGCAGUGGCUUGGGCCCCUGCUUGCCCAGGUCGUGUAACCAUUUUGGUUGUUAAAAGGGGAUCACGGUUCAGGGAGGCUUGAGAACAGCUGUGAGGGUAAAGGCGUAAAUUCCAGCCAUUUCACUGGGGCCAGGAUUUCCCACUUAGUGAACAACAUGCGCAGGGAUGGAUAUUAACCAAAGAAUUUUCAUCUCCUGCCUUAUCUAGUCCCUGCUGGCCAUUCUACACUGUGCAUUUCCACGUUCCCAGCCCGAGUUCCUCGCACGGGACGGCUGAGUGUAACAAGCUGUUCAGAGCCAUGGGGUGCACAAGACAAUUCUUGCAGAAACGAGAGAGCGUAGCUCCUGAGACUGAGCCGUCUUGCCGUUAUAAGGGGCAUCUGUGAUGAUAAAUGUGACUCCUUUGUGAUGAAACAGGCACGGUGGCAGUGGGCAUCAAAAACAAAUGGGAAUUAAAAAUGAACACACAACAGUUUGUUCCACCCGCGCAGACAGCAAGAGCGGGGCUCGUGGGGUGUAUAUGAAGAGGAACGCCAUGUGGAGAAGACAAAAGUAAGCUGGCAAUAGAGGAUGGAGUUGAAUAUCGAAGGAUAAGACAUGAUCAAGAGCCCCGGCUUUGCCAGUCUCUUUCGACGACGAGAGCAAGUGACGCCGUCUGCAGUGAAAGGGAGAGACUUCUUGACUGAAAUAAUAGGUCACCCCACAGCAUACCCAUUGCAGCAAUAGGUCCCCAGCAUCUCCGGCAGAGUCAAAGGAAAGCCGCAUGUCCCCGCUGAGUAAACAUCUGGGAGCAGCUGGUCAGACAACUGAUCUUGAGACGGCCAAAG